rnacentral:rRNA from 1 species
UACGUAGGGUGCAAGCGUUGUCCGGAAUUAUUGGGCGUAAAGAGCUCGUAGGUGGCCUGUCGCGUCGGCUGUGAAACUCGGGGCUCAACCUCGGGUCUGCAUCCGAUACUGCCCGGCUAGAGGUAGGUAGGGGAGAUCGGAAUUCCUGGUGUAGCGGUGAAAUGCGCAGAUAUCAGGAGGAACACCGGUGGCGAAGGCGGAUCUCUGGGCCUUACCUGACGCUCAGGCGCGAAAGCUAGGGGAGCGAACUGG